GAUGAACGCUGGCGGCGUGCUUAACACAUGCAAGUCGAACGGAAAGGCCGAAGCUUGCUUCGGUACUCGAGUGGCGAACGGGUGAGUAACACGUGGGUGAUCUGCCCUGUACUUCGGGAUAAGCUUGGGAAACUGGGUCUAAUACCGGAUAUGACGAUCUCUUGGAUGGGGUUGUGGAAAGCUUUUGCGGUAUGGGAUGAGCUCGCGGCCUAUCAGCUUGUUGGUGGGGUAAUGGCCUACCAAGGCGUCGACGGGUAGCCGGCCUGAGAGGGUGUACGGCCACAUUGGGACUGGGAUACGGCCCAGACUCCUACGGGCGGCAGUAGUGGGGAAUAUUGCACAAUGGGCGCAAGCCUGAUGCAGCGACGCCGCGUGGGGGAUGACGGCCUUCGGGUUGUAAACUCCUUUCGCAAUCGACGAAGCCUUUUGGUGACGGUAGGUUGAGAAGAAGCACCGGCUAACUACGUG
rnacentral:rRNA from 1 species